GCCUGUGAUGAGGAAAAUCUUUGAGCAAUUGCUUGAAUCGCUUCCAGACUUCAUACAAAGUUUCCCCCACUUUCUGCUAAAAACCCACUUUCUCACUUCUCAAAGAC